AUAGAGGGCCAGAUGAUUGCAUCUGCAGACUUUCUCCUGCCCCUAUGAAUACUCCUGAUUUCCAUGCUGGCCUUAUGGCUCUGUGCUGACAUUUGUUCUGGCAGUCCCCGUGGAACCUGGCACUGUGUCCUGAACCUCUAAUCUCUGUGUAAUUAGUCUGAGAUCCACGAGACAGGAACCUUUCCUGGCCGUGUUUGUGCAGGAGGCCAAGGGCAAUGCCAAACUCAGAAGGGCUCUGCAGUACCUACUUGUCACACCAAAGAGACAAACCAUCCUUUGGGGUGCUGCUCUUCAAGCCUCUUUUUUUGAUGGCAAAAGGGAAUUCAGUGCCUGAAAACACGUCCCCAGCAGUAAGGAUGCACAGCUCACCCCAAGCUGCAGAGAUAAGUCCUGCAGACCUUGAUCUCUCAGCAAAGCCAUGCUGGUAGUUUUUCCUGCUUUUCCAGGCCUUGGUCCUCAGCUCACUGGUGAUGCUCAGUUAAGACAUGGUUUAAGCACCAUCCAGUCAGGAGCACUGAGGAGCAGGACAGUGUGAUGGCACCCGAGGAGGAAAGGAACAGAGCUGGGGGCCACAGGUCUGCAACAGGGAGGUCUUUCCCAGACCUUCCAGCCGUUUAUGAAGCACCCCAGCACUGGAGGGUGACUCUUGGCCAGCUGAACAUCUCUGCAAUCACAGGCGGGCAGCUGGCACAGCCAAGAUCUCCGUGAUGCCCCCACCACAACCACAACCAACGUGUUCCUGAGAGGAAUCCCAGCCAAAGCCCACAUGCUCCCUGAGGUGACCCUCUGGAUAUCAAGCCCUGGAGGAGAGGUUACUUGAAGAGAAUAAAAAACCUCAUUGGUGAAAGCAACCUAAACAGGAAAUUGGACAGGAGGCUGGCUGAAAGUGUACCAGUGCUCUACAGGGAUUUCUUGUGCCUUUUCAAGGAAGGAUUUGCUGUGUUCUAGAAUGUGUAAAUAUUGUUUGGGGCUUGUUUUGUUUUGUUUUUUAUCUCAAAUGCUUGCCAAGGAAAUGGAACAGUACAAACAUAAUUAGCCAGGGGCUGAGCAUUUAAUCUUAAAUUCUGAGUCUUCAUUAAGUCUUAAUUUAAAAACCUUAGGAGGGAAGCUUGCAACCAUUCCUGUUCAUAGGGAUGGAUGGAAUUUGUGGCAGGAUUUUAUGGCAGAAGAGGGAAACCACUCAAAUGGGGAAGGCUCAGAAACCCAAACCAUUCUGUGGCUAGGAAUUUAAGAAGGUGCUGUGGGAGAGCUGGAAGGCUUGUGGGGUGAAAAAACGAGAGCUUUCCCUUUGUAUGAGAGUUAUUCCAAAUCAGAAUGGGGUGUUUGGACACAGGUUUGUUUUUUUUUUUUCCUAUGGGGCAUUGUUAUUUUUACCUGAAAAAGGGAUAACUUCGGAAUUUGGAUCAGUUUCAGUGUAUCAAGAUAAAAUGAACUGCUAGUACCUUUUAGUUUUAUCUUAAUUUACUGAGAAAGAUUUCUACACCAGGCAUGAUAGGGAAAAAAUACUGGAGGGAGAAAAAUUAAAUAAAACAAAUCCUUUUAUUCCCUUCUGUAAGUAUUUUUAUAAGCUAGGAAGCUGUGGAGAAAUGUGAAAGUGCUGUGAUUUCUCCUACACCUUCCUUUGCCCUUUUUCAGUGAUAACAGCUAUCAAAUGACAUCUUUGUGAGGAACGUGCCAGACCCUCUGCACAUCAAAAAAAGUCCAAAAAGCAGCAGCCUUAAUUCCUGUGAGUGUUCAUGCCAAAUCUGUUCUUUUGUUUAGUGUUGUCAGGGCAGUGGGACCUUUGUCAUAAUUUGAAAUAGCCCUCUCUUUUUUCCCUGAUCACCAAAUAUUCAGAAAAGCCAAUAAGAGAGGUUAAAAAUAAAUAUGAAAAUCCAUUUUAAACCUUAAUAACAAGAUUUAUAUAGUACCUAGUACUUGCUGAAAGUUUUUUUUUCUAGCGCAUGCUUCUAAAAAAUAAAGAAAGAAAAAGUAGUGCAAGAAGAGAGCAUUCACCUUGUAAAUGGCUGGAUUCCAGGAAAGAAGGGAAAAAAAAAAAGGCAAGAAAGGGAAAACUUGGGCAGAGAUUUGCAUGGCUGCCUGCAGACAAGGCCACCCACUGGCCUGCUGCCUGCUCCAGGCCUGCCAGCGGAAGUUUUGCCCUUGCCUUGGCAGCAGCGCCCUGGAAUGGCGCUCGGCUGCGUGCCGCGGUUCCUGGGGAAGGCGAGGAGGGGUGUCCUGCAUGGAAAAGCACCCCCAUGUGAGCCAUCUGCCAAGUAGUGCCCACACCCCCAGGUACCACCUCGGCCCCAGGGCUCCUGCUUUUGCCACUUGGAUGAGGACGAGGGAGUUCAAUCCCUGAGUUUGUAACAAGUUGGGUUGUAAAUCCUCUUUGGCGCAGUGUGCUAAGUUAUUGAGCGCUUCCGCUCACCUCGGCAGCCUCACGACUCCUACAGCUACAUGGAAAAUUUAGAAUAACAGAACUAUUUCACAUGGCAACAACGACCUGGAAGGAUCUGACUGGUGCAGUUCCUACAAAUCAAUCCAGUGUGAGCUUCUAAGCCAAUGGGCUGGUCCCCUGUGAGGGACUGAACAUCUCGUCCUGGGCGUGUUAACAGCAAAGCUUGAAAUAAUGGUGACUUCUAGAAACCAAUUUUGAUAACCAGACUCUAUUUGUAAGGCAUUUAGAGCUAAUAAAGCUCCUGUGGUCUUGGGAGUGCCCUUUUCCUUGAGCACAAUGGGAAACUCUUCUUGUCAGGAUUGCUAUAGAAACAAUGAAUUCUCAGGCAAACGGGACCAUCCAGCCAAUUGUGCCAGACGAGGGAUGUGUGCUGAUAACGCGGCAGCGUUAAUUUGCUCUACUUUGUUGUAAGUAGAGCUUGCAUCGCCUAUAGAAAUGUAAAGAGGCAGGUGAGCUGGAGUGUCUAUUAUUUAUAGACACAGUUUGUGCUGUAUAAAUGAAUUUUUCAUAGGUAGACUUUUUAGAAAAAGGCUUGGGAAAGUGCUUGGUAAAUAAUUAUGACUGGGAGCUUCAAAUGUCUCUGAGGAGUGGGUGGACAUCCUUUAGUCCCCCUUAAAAUUUUUCAGGUGCAACCUUGAACCUGUUGUAAAGAGUGGGGUGCUUUGACCAUGUGUGAAGUACCCCAGCCCCAUUACUGACAGCCUUUAGCAGGAUAAUGCUGAACCACGGCUGGUAUUGCCUUCUGUCAUCUUGCAAAACUGAGUCACCCAUAAGCAAAUGCAAAUGUUAUUAGUAUGUAGAUGUGCUUGUACCAUAGGGCUUGAGAAGUCAGCACCAGGCUGAAGUAGGAUCCAGCAACAACAACAAGAAAGAAGCAAAAACUCCUUGGUAUCAAGUGGAUAACCUCUACAUUUUCUUUAUUGCAUUUUACUCAAUGCCACUUGGGAGGACGUUCCUCUAUUUUUAAAAAGGAAGAAGACAUGAAAUGUGCCAGGAAAUCAUUGAGCUGAGAGGAGUUUGGCUUCAGAUGUGAGACACACCACCAGGAUCACGGAGAAGAUGUUCACCACAGGUGAACAUGGCAAAGGCCAUGGACUUCCAAAGAGCUGCUCACCUGGCUGUGCACAUCUGGAGCCUGUAUUUAUUGUUCUGCUUCUCCAAGUGUGAAUUGAAAAGCUUGCACCUAUAAAGAAACCCCCAUAAUUGUCUUGACAUCAGUUUGAGGUGGGAAAAUAAGUAUUUCCAAGGGUCUCAGCUUCUACAGGUGAGAAGUUCAUCUUUUUCUUGCACAAGCUUUCUUCUUGCAUGGGCUUUUGGCUGCUUGUCACGUGUGAGGCUGUGCUGGCAGGCAAGAGGAUACCCAAGUGAAUAUUUCUCUCCCACCAAGUGUUUGUGUUUGUUUCAGGGCUGCCCGCUCUGUGCAGAGAUGCCUGCUCCCAGCUCCGUGCACUCUGGCACGUGUUGCCUAAUGGAGCAGGGCUUCUCGUUCAGCACGGCUGACAAGGAGCAUCUCUGUCACCACAGCUGACACACGCUUGCUUUGUUAAAUGACAGAAGAUGCUGCAGUGCAUGGCACAAGUUCUCCCAUGCUUUCAGCUAAACAAUUUACUACUGUGCUGUACAUCCUUCUCUGGUCCAGCAAGCGGAGGGCCUGGAGCUGGUUAUUCAUGUCCCAGCUUGGCCAGCUCUGUCCCCCCAGACAUUGCAAGGAGCAGUGGGAACAAAGUGAGAUGUUGACCUAAUGCCCUGCAUGUAGGGCAUUCAAACCUACCCUGACAGCUCCCUGACAGGGCAUUCAAACCUAAACUGUCUGCCGAGGUUCAGCCCCAUGUGGCAUUUUCUGCUCUGCUACAUCACAGCUGGUCCAACCCUCCUGCCUCUGCACCACCCUGGGCAUAAGCAAAGCCAGGGCUUUGGAAUCUGUGUGCUUCUGGCUGCAAAGUAAAGUUUUUCUGCAGAUCAAAUGCUCAUCAGCGACUGGGAACACAACCAAAGAGGUGGGGAGGAGAGGAGGAAGCCACACUUGAUCCCACAGAAGCCACAAAUCUGAUUUCGCACCAAAGGCAAUUAGCCAGCACACAUUUAGUUAGGGUGGCGGUGCUACUUUGUAAAACGUGACCUUUUAAUGAGCUGGGGAGGCAGAUCUGAGUUUCUGCUAGUCUACAUUGGCAAAGGAAAACCACCAGCAGUUAAUUAUCAUCAGGAGAGAGGAGCAGGGGUGAAGUGGCCCUCAAAACCAUCUCCGUGCACUUACAAGUCCUGCUUUGCAUGACGGGAUCUUGUCCCUGACUCCAUGCCAUCACACCCAGCCUCCCUCCCAAAGCCACCAGGGUGCUGCAGCAUCCUUGGCUGGGCAGUGCUGACUCAGGCACAGGGUCCCGUGCCUGCUCCCUGGCACUGCUGUCCCCCAGAUAUUUCACAACCAGAUAUAAAAAUCCCUGAGUUAGGCACUUGCUGCUGUGCUCCCUGCAAAGGGAAGCAGUAAAAGGCUGAUUUAUGCUCUGAACCACAAAAGCCUUUUAUUGCUGCUUUUUUUUUUUAAUGUAACUGUCUUGCCCUUAAAUGUCUAAUCCCUUUCUAACAGUCUAGUGGAAGUGGCAGGGCUCUCCACGGGUUAAAGGCGGUGUUUUUCAAGAGGAUCAAGUUGUCCACCAGGUCCCCAAAGCCCCUCUUGCCCUGGCACAGCCAGUCCCCCUGUCAGCAAGGGAGGAGGGCAGCAGUAAGCUAUGUACUAUGGGCAUGGUCCUCCACAUUCUCCCAGCCCUCAGCUUUCUGGGGUUGUUGGAGAGUUAUUCCAUCACUUGGAGUAUCCCCUGACAGUCUUGGGCACUGCUGCUCCUUCAGGGGAGAAUAAAAACCCCAAGCUGAUUUAACAGAAACAGGGAUUUAAGACUUUGACUCCAGGCAUAUACAUUUAAAGACAUUGCCCAAUUAUUUCUUCAUUUUUAUUAAUUACUAUUAGUCAUUUAUGGCCCCUUUUACAUUCAACUCCUCAAGAAAAAUAUUGCUUUAGAGAAAAAAAAAAGGAAA